rnacentral:tRNA from 1 species
GGUUGUGUGGUGUAACGGUUAGCACAUGAGAUUUUGACACAUCAGAAUCAUGGCUCUGAUCUUCAGACCUUCUCGGGACCAGGGUUCGACUCCCUGCACGACCU